rnacentral:lncRNA from 1 species
AAGGCCCCACCUCCUAAUACCAUCACACUGGGGCUUAGCACCUCAACAUAUCAAUUUUGGGGAAAUACAAUUCAGUUCACAGUGCAUAGAUAGAUAUUAAUUGAUAUUAUCAAAAGAAACCAUGGGCAGAUAAACCCAAAACCAAACUGUUUUAAUGGUUAUCUAUUGGGAAGAAAAAGAAACAGGGUGAACGGGAAGUUACAGAAGCAAGAUUUCUGUGACUGUAACUGGAUAAAUAGAGAGUUUGGGAGGACGAUAAGUGUUUUAUGUGAUUUUUAAAAAUUAAAGUAAACUGAAAUGAAUGAGUCUUCCUGCAUAUAAAGUGUGUGGCAUAACCACAUAAAGCAAACAAUUACUUAAAGUGGCUUUAAAACGCAGCAUUUUGACUAUACAUCCCAAGUGAGAGAUAUGCUAUGGACAAUAAAAAAAAGGAAAAGAAAAAAGGAAAGAAAUCAUAAAUGGCAUUCAGUAGCCAUAUAUUAGUAUUGACAUUUUUAUUAAAUUACUAUGUUUCCAUCAUUAGGAACCAUAAUUUUCAGUAUAAAAAUGACAUAGCAUAAAAUCAAGGAAGUUUAAGUAAAAAUCUUGUAAUCUUAAAAGUGAAUUGGAAAUUGCAGUAUGAACUCACAUUGUGUUUUACUCUUUAAAAAAUACAUAUUUUCUAGUUCUGUCCACUGAAAAGACCCAGAAGCAAUGAAAACCCAGUAACAAUGAGCACACUUCCACGGCUGAACUCUCUAGAUAACAUUUACCAAUGAAAUUGGCUGAUUCUAAGUCUAGGGCAAAAAAUGUACAAAAGGAGACUGGAUACAAGUCUCUUAUUGUACCAGAAAGUGAAGGAGAAAUCAAAGACUAAUGAGGUCACGUUAAAGUGAUACAGGACGACACAGGGCCUGCCUGCAGCAGCUGGUCAAUAAUGAAGGGAUUAAUCCAUGACUGCAAGACUCGUGGGAAGGAGGGAGUGGGGACUGCAGGGAGGGUCCUAGUAAAAGCAGGGUGGGCCUCGAUGAGCACAGCAUGGACAGUGCGAUUUAAAUCCCAUCGCUUGUGGGCAGGAGGAGUGAGGAUGCCAGAACCUAGUUAUCCCCCACCAUCCCACGCUCUCCCAGGAGGCGGCGGCAGGAAGUGCAGUCUACAGUAAGGGAAAGCCGCCGGAGCUGGAGACAGGCUGGAAAGAGCAGGUAACAGCCCACAAGGAGCGGGGGCCCUGGCUGUCAGACUCAACUUGCAGGACCAUCAAGUGCAGGUGUGGUUCAAGAACCGGGGCCGCUUGCUCUGCGGUAGCAACGGCACAUAACCGCAGCGAUGACCAGGGCAGCCAAGCCAGCAGCCGGGACCCCGGGAUGCUCUUGGCACAUGAUCCGACUCCCCUGCCUUUGCGGGUCCUGUACUCCCGCGAGGUCCAGGAUUGUGCAGCCCCUCCCCAACCGGCCGUUGGGAAUCUUCGCAGCAGCAGAACCCGCUGCCUCCAGGUCCGACCAGACCUGCAUAGGUAGAGAGUCCCCGCACAGGGCGGCCAGCAGAGCUACCCAGCUGCCCCAGGGCCUCGGGACCCCUGGGCCUGGGACCCAGGCCAGACCCUGACUCAUUCGGUGAUCUCACAGGACUCCUCCCACCCCAAGACCCUUUCAGGGACCCUGCCUCGAACUCCACGACAUGGGAGGCAGGGGCGGGCCUUUUGCAGGGGAAGGACUCCCCCAGCAGGACGUUUACUGAAUCUGGAGGGAGUCGCCCUGCAGAUAUCCCGCGGAAGCCGGAGGAGACCCAGGUGCGCCCCACCGGCUAGCUGCGCCUGCGGGUGCCCAAAUUGGUGUCCGGGCCAUCCUCACCGCAGUGACUCCUCCGCAGCGCCAACGCACUCCAUUUUCCUUCCACCCUGCCGGUGGGGGGCGUUUGCUUGUUCUCACUCUGCAGCCGCAGCCAGUGGCGCCGCUACCAAGGUCCCCGCCUCGCCAUCCGGGUCCUGCCUGAGCAUCCUUAUUGGUGCUCAGGGCUAGGCGUGCAUUGCUGCUAGGGGCGCGGAAAGGUUUAUCGUGGGUGGAUGCUGCCCGGGGCUUGAGUGGUUUUUAGAGGUCUUGAGUGGCUCACUCUCCAAUCAGCGCUUUCUAGAGACAGCGUGGUCAGCGUACUUGCUUACUUUCAGGAUUGCGAGACGUCUUUAACCCUUGCUGAUCGGCUGACGCUGCAGCUUCCUGUGGCUUCCUGCUCAUUUCCCGCAAGAUAGCACUGAUAGGCAAUUCCAUUUUGGAAAAUUUAUCCUGAGGAAAUAAAUAAAGAUGUAAACAGAGAAUAACUUACAGAUGUGACGUUUGUGAUCGUUAAAACUGGAAACAGCGCAAGAGUGGACGAUAGGGGAUGAGAGAGCCACACAGCGCAUAGAAGAUGAUCAGUCUGAAGAGAGGGUUUUCAGACAUGCAAUUAACUGCUAUUCACUGUACUUCAUUUUAACUGCAAACUAGCAGUCUCUUUCCCCAGGAAAAAAGAGGUCAACUCGGAGGAGCCAGGGAUUCAGCCCACUCUGGACAACACUCAGAGCCAUGGCACCUACCUGUAUGAAAAAAAAUUGUUAAGCAGCUGCCACUCCUAGUUACUGGCCUCUGCUCGGUGACUGAUGCACUUCUAACAUCCUUGUCCCAGGAUAAAGACCUUGUAAUGGAGAAAAAAGAUGGCAGGGAUCCUUUCCAUGGAAUUUCGGCUGUUGUCUAGUGGACCUUCCAGGAAUUGUCUGAUUCUAUGGGAGUGCGCAACUUUGACUGUUCAGUUGGGCCAAUUGGCAACACUGUAGAGACGGAAACUAACUUGUGGAGGGCUGAGGGUGAUACAGACAUUUUCUGUCCGUGGUAAUGCAAAAGGUGUUCAUAGCAAUGCAAAUGGAUUUUAUCCAAUGGGGGAGAUAAAUAUUUGAACGGGCUCUCUUGUUAAUUACUAGUUAAUCAAAAUAUUUGACAUGUAUUCAUUCUAUAUUUAUAGGGGAGUCAUGAUUCUACCUUUUUGGAAAUGACCCUCUAGCAGUUUUAUUGGUCCUAUGAGAUACACAGUAGAUUCACCAGCCAGAGCCAGAUGAGCUGCACAGUUGCCAAAGGGAACUUCAGAUGCCACCAGAGCCUCAGCUCUGUCCUCCCUCACCUCCCAAGAAAGCCUGGAUCUUUGAGUUGUGUUGAUGGGCAUAUUCGUGUUUGCCACUUGAAGGAGUAAGAGGCCCGCGUGGAUCUGGAGGCAAGUGGCUGUGCCCUCCUGCAAUCUGCUCACCUGCAGAAAUGCUCGCGUAGGGCAGCUCUCAAUUUUCUGCCACCUCCUCAGCUUUUUCUGUGAAACAGAAGUUGGUUACUUUGGAUGAAAAUUAUCUUUCAUAUAGGUGGUUGGUACACGAAGCAAUAGUGACAAAUAAAACUCUGUGUGCGUGCUUCUGUUUUGUCAUGCAAUGAAAAGUAGUUUUGUUCCAGAAUAUGAAUGAACACAGUGAAUGAAGGUCUAAAGAAGUGAAUGUUAUUUGCCUUGGUUUAUAAUACCUGAGUCUGAAAAGAGACAUGAAGUAACUUAGAUCUUAGCAAAGUUUCCUCACUUUUGAUGGGCUUGCCGCCUUGGCUUACUGGUCACCGCCUUCAUCUACAGCAGGGGUCCCCAAUCCCCGGGCUAUGGUCCAGCAACAGUCCAUGGCCUGUUAGGAACCGGGCCACAUAGCAGGAGAUAAGCGGUGGUUACAGCUGCUCCCCAUCACUCACAGUACUGCCUGAGCUCUGCCUUCUGUCACGGUGGCAUGAGAUUCUCACAGGAGUAUGAACCCCUAUUGUAAACUGUGCAUGCAAGGCAUCUAGGUUGUAUGCUCCUUAUGAGAAUCUAAUGCCUGACAAUCUGUCACUCUCUCCCAUCACCCCCAGAUGGGACCAUCUAGUUGCAGGAAAAUAAGCUCAGGCCUCCACUGAUUCUAUAUUAUUGUGAGUUGUAUAAUUAUUUCAUUAUAUAUUACAAUGUAAUAAUAAUAGAAAUAAAGUGUACAAUAAAUGUAAUGUGCUUGAAUCAUCCAGAAACCAUCCCCCCAUCCCAGUCCGUGGAAAAAAUGUCUUCCAUGAAACCGGUUCCGGGCGCCAGAAAGGCUGGGGACCACUGACCUGCAGCACAAAGGCUAUUCUUUACCUUCCUUGUGGUCUGCCUGACAGCAAAAGUGUGUGUCUUGCCAGAAAAAUUUCUGUGCCUUAUGCUGACUUCAUUCAGUCCUUGAGUAUUUAAACAAAACAAUACAAAAACUCACUUGUGAAAGAGAUGAUUCUUUAAACUCAUGUCACCUUCUGUUUACUUUUACAUUUGUUUGCAUUAUUAAAAGAGUAAGCAAGAAUUAUUUCUUCAGCACCCAUGAUAUGCUCUGAGUCAAGUGCCUAAAUCUUCUCUGACAACUCUUUUGAUUUUUCCUUCUAGAGAUCAGAUCCUAAAUAUAGAAAGAGUAAAAGAAAACUUUUUAUCUUGAACUAAAACAUUCUUUGAAACUUCCCAGAGGGCCCCUGGAAAUUCACGAGAUUUGUACUUUCACCCUAUGAAGCAAGAGCAAGAGAGGCCAGAAGUAAUUAUGUUUAUUAUUCUUUAAUCAGCAUCUGAAGAGAUGCUCAGCCUCCCUAGGUUAAGUUUGUAUCAGUAAACUCAUUAUAAAUAGUUCAGACACUGCACACUUUGUAGGAAGGCCCUGAAGCUUUGCCAGUGCCCUCGUCGCCGUCCAUUGUAUGCUUUACCUUUAGUGAGACACUGAUC